AACAGGCAAGAACCUACAGGAUCAGAAUGGAAACUUUUUCUUUUCCUGUAUUUCCCUGGUUGGUUGCUCAAGUUACUGAGGUUGUAAUCCAGGUGGGCAGCACAAGCUACAUUUAGCAAUAGUUAAUGGUGUGGUGUAUAAAGACCUUGCAUCUGAUGGACAUUUGGAGGCAAUGAAGGCUGGCUGCUGAAACUUCUCAACCUGAUAAAAACCCACCCAGUGAUCCUCAGACCCCUAAAGAAGAACUGAUAAUGGAUCUGCCUUCAGCAAAUGGAGACAUAGGAUAAAUUACACUUUUUCUGGGUAAGCGUUGAUUUAAGAUGAGAUCUAGCUUUAGAAACAAAACCAAC